ACUCAACACUUAUAAUUUAAAAAGGGUUAAGUUUUGGUUGUAAAAGCAAGCUGCCACGUUUUGUGAAGCAGAUCCUUGAUCAGUCAGACAGCCCUAAACCUGUUUUAACGGAGUUU
rfam:Psychroflexus salarius strain DSM 25661 genome assembly, contig: Ga0131153_101